CCUACGGGAGGCAGCAGUGGGGAAUAUUGGUCAAUGGCCGGAAGGCUGAACCAGCCAUGCCGCGUGAAGGUCAGUGCCCUAUGGGCGUUAAACUUCUUUUGUGCGGGAGCAAUAAUGGUCACGUGUGGCCAGACGAGAGUACCGUACGAAUAAGCAUCGGGGAACUCCGUGCCAGCAGCCGCGGUAAUACGGGGGAUGCAAGCGUUAUCCGGAUUUAUGGGGGUUAAAGGGUGCGUAGGCUGUGAGGUAAGUCAGCGGUGAAAUGCCCCCGCGCAACGGGGUGAAGUGCCAUUGAUACUGCCUUGCUGGAAUGCGGAUGCGGUGGGAGGAAUGUGUGGUGUAGCGGUGAAAUGCAUAGAUAUCACACAGAACACCGAUUGCGAAGGCAUCUCACGAAUCCGCGAUUGACGCUGAUGCACGAAAGCGUGGGUAUCAAACAGGAGUAGAGACCCUUGUAGUC
rnacentral:rRNA from 1 species